AAUGCAACUGGUUCAGAAUCUCAAUGCUGAAACUCUCAGGACUCACAGUUGUGAAGACACAGGUGGCGCAUGACUGUCGUUAGCUCGUGCCGUAAGGUGUUGGGUUAAGUCCUGCAACGAGUGAAACCCUCAUGUUUAGUUUCCAGCAUUGAGUUUGGAACCCUGAACAGACUGCCGAUGAUAAGCCGGAGGAAGGUGAGGAUGACGUCAAGUCAUCAUGCCCCUUAUGCCCUGGGUGAAACACGUGCUACAAUGAUCGGGACAAAGGGUCGCGACCCUGUGAGGGCAAGCUAACCUCAAAAACCCAAGGCUGGACACAGGCCAAUGCAUCUCAGACAUGCAGG
rnacentral:ncRNA from 1 species